UUCGCGUCUCUCUGCUGCGGCGCGGGGACCGCUGUGCUCUCGACCGCUCCUCCUGUAGAGAGUGGUGCUGCCAUCUCGGGAUGUACCUGCAGGUAGAGACCCGCACCAGCUCCCGCCUCCAUCUGAAGAGGGCUCCAGGCAUCCGGUCCUGGUCCCUGCUGGUUGGUAAGGCUCUCCACCUCCCUCCCCAGAACCCCAGAACCAGAAGCCUGACUUUCAAAAAGGAUGAAAAUGAAACAAAGUAUUUUCUCUUUUUUCUAUUACCUUGAAAUCUAAUGGCUAUUUUGUUUCUUUGUAUCCAUUCAAAUUUUAUCUGGUGUACUUGGUUUUACAGAUAAUGCAUGUCUGUUUUGUCCCUUUUAACCACUAACACCCAGAGUAUUUAAUAUACUCUAUGAGCUUUUCUGAGGUCACCAUAUUUUCCUUUGUACUUGUUUUGAAUCACAUGAUGGGUGAUCGUGGGUUCCCAUGUCUCCUCCU
rnacentral:sRNA from 1 species